CUGAUCUAGCACCGAAGUCCAAAUUGUUUUUGUCUGAACUGGAUGCAGCUGUGCAGCUCGCGGUUGACCGGUUGCUAGGCGACCGCUCUGAUGAUUAACUGGAAAUUCACUUCUUUUGCCUGACCCGACAGACCUUCAUUUCUCCGUAAACUUUGACUGUUUUAUCCUUCAUCUUUCAUAUUUUCACCUUCUUUGACUUUACCCGCAUCCUGUUUACUACCAACUAUCAAACCUCCUUUUGACAAUUUCUCUUUCUGGGUCGACGACGUGAAACUUCAAACGUGAAACUCCGGUGAAGCCAACGCAAGCGUCCUCUUCAACAUUGACAACAGAAAGCCCAGACACAGACUGCACUCCAGCCCAAGUCCAAGUGGCAGCUUUUUUUUUUCUUCCCAAAAAUAAAUACAUGCAUUACA